CCUCUCACUCUGAAGAAAGAUAUGAAACUUGUUUUAUUUCAAAAUUAUCUUAAUCUUAUACUAAAUUAAAAUAUCAUGGAUAAAACUUAAAGCUUUGGCUUUAAGGAGUAUCAAUCUUAGGGGGAGCUUGCAAACCUCUUAAACCUAAGUGAAACAUGAUAAGUUAAUUUAACAACAAUUGUCCAUUAAUACUUAUGUUUGUCAUCAUCAAAAAGGGGGAGAUUGUUGGAACAAAAUUGAUUUAAAAAUGUUAGCCCCUAAAUCUAUAAAGGUUUUGAUGAUAACAAAGUAUUAAUAAACAAUUGGAAGGACUAAAAA
rnacentral:lncRNA from 1 species